rnacentral:rRNA from 1 species
GACGAACGCUGGAGGCGUGCUUAACACAUGCAAGUCGAACGAUGAAAUGGAGCUUGCUCCAUGGAUUAGUGGCGAACGGGUGAGUAACACGUGAAUAACCUGCCCUUAAUUUUGGAAUAACCCAGGGAAACCUGGGCUAAUACCGGAUAAGUAAACCUGUGGCAUCACAUGGUUUUGGAAAGUUUUUCGAUUAAGGAUGGAUUCGCGGCCUAUCAGCUUGUUGGUGAGGUAAUGGCUCACCAAGGCGACGACGGGUAGCCGGCCUGAGAGGGUGAACGGCCACACUGGGACUGAGACACGGCCCAGACUCCUACGGGAGGCAGCAGUGGGGAAUAUUGCGCAAUGGACGAAAGUCUGACGCAGCGACGCCUCGUGAGGGACGAAGGUCUUCGGAUUGUAAACCUCUUUCAGCAGGGACGAAGCGAAAGUGACGGUACCUGCAGAAGAAGCACCGGCUAACUAUGUGCCAGCAGCCGCCGCCG